GAUGAAGAACGUAGCGAAAUGCGAUAAGUAAUGUGAAUUGCAGAAUUCAGUGAAUCAUCGAAUCUUUGAACGCACAUUGCGCCCCUUGGUAUUCCGGGGGGCAUGCCUGUUCGAGCGUCAUUUCAACCCUCAAGCUCUGCUUGGUAUUGGGCUCCGUCCUCCUCGGACGCGCCUCAAAGACCUCGGCGGUGGCGUCUUGCCUCAAGCGUAGUAGAAACACCUCGCUUUGGAGUGCAUGGCGUCGCCCGCCGGACGAAACCUUUUGUAUUUUCUCAAAGGUUGACCUCGGAUCAGGUAGUGAUACCCGCUGAACUUAAGCAUAUCAAUAAGCGGAGGA
rnacentral:misc_RNA from 1 species